GAGGGUAUAGCUCAGUGGUAGAGCACAUGCUUAACAUGAACAAGGUCCUGGGUUCUAUCCCCAUUACCUCCA
rfam:Camelus ferus unplaced genomic scaffold scaffold878, whole genome shotgun sequence.